rnacentral:rRNA from 2 species
GAAAUAAACUAUGAUACGGAGAUUUCCGAAUGGGGUAACCCAAUCUAGCAAACCUAGAUUGCGCUUUAAUGAAUUCAUAGUUAAAGCAGCGAGAUACGUUGCGAAUUGAAACAUCUUAGUAGCAACAGGAAAAGAAAAUAAAUAAUGAUUCCCAAAGUAGUGGCGAGCGAAAUGGGAAGAGCCCAAACCGUUUUUACGGGGUUGUAGGACAUUUUAAUUGAGUUAAAAAAUUAUAUAAUAGUAGAAAAAGUUGGAAAGCUUUGACAUAGAAGGUGAUAUCCCUGUAUACGAAAUUAUAUAAUCUCAUAAAUGUAUCCUGAGUAGGGCGGGGCACGUGAAACCCUGUCUGAAUCUGCCAGGACCACCUGGUAAGGCUAAAUACUAAUCAGACACCGAUAGUGAACUAG